rnacentral:rRNA from 1 species
GUCGGUGAGGCAACCUUUUGGAGCCAGCCGCCUAAGGUGGGACAAAUGAUUGGGGUGAAGUCGUAACAAGGUAGCCGUAUCGGAAGGUGCGGCUGGAUCACCUCCUUU